AUGGUGUUUUUUAAAAGGGAAGCAGCUCUCAUCAAAGGCCUCGUGGAUCUGGUGACAACACCGACACGCGCUUCGCUUGGAGCCUGGAAACUGUCAGGCGGUGGAGGCGGGGUGGGGGACGCCAGCACUGCGGAGUCCCAAGGCUGCGUCCCUGGAGAAAGGCUGAGGCUCGGCUGCGGAACUGGCGGCGGUUCACAGGGAAUCUCUGAGGGAGGAAGGUUGGUACACCCCGCGACUGAGAAGGAUGAAAUGGGGGAGAAGAGAUGGGGGCGGGGGCAGAGAGAUUGGAUGCUCAGGAAACGGGGCUUCUGGAUCUCUGCAGGGAAACAGGGUCCACUCGUAGUGUGGCCGGAUCCAGUCCGCUGUCGGGGCUGAAGCUCGUGCUUGGACAGGACGCGCCCCUGGACGCCCGGUGGGGAUCCACCAAGGUGGCUCUGAGUUUUGCACAACUUCACGCUUUCAAAAAAGGGUGCUUCCUUUAAAUAUAAUUAUUUUGGCGCGAGUCUCGGUGGGAUCUGAAGUCGAAGGCUUCCCCAGCCUUCGGCUGUCUUUUCUUACUCCCCGGAAACAAAACUGAACAAAAGGGGAUCCCUGGGUGGCGCAGCGGUUUGGCGCCUGCCUUUGGCCCAGGGCGCGAUCCUGGUAGACCCGGGAUCGAAUCCCACAUCGGGCUCCCGGUGCAUGGAGCCUGCUUCUCCCUCUGCCUGUGUCUCUGCGCCUCUCUCUCUCUGUGCCUAUCAUAAAUUAAAAAAAAAAAAAAAACUGAACAAAAUUAAAAGUCAGCCAAGGAAACUAAACAACAGCCCCCACAGGCCAUCCCACAACAUAGCUGGGGGAGCAAUAUUCUGGCUUCAGCGCUCAGGUUCGAAAUCCGAAUAAAAGGAGCCAGCUCUUGGAUUACA
rnacentral:lncRNA from 12 species